rnacentral:rRNA from 1 species
AGGGUUUGAUCCUGGCUCAGAUUGAACGCUGGCGGUAUGCUUAACACAUGCAAGUCGAACGGCAGCGCGUCCACCCACUGAAUGGCCUUAUAUAGGCUGUUGAGUGGGUGGAUGGCGGCGAGUGGCGGACGGGUGAGUAAUGCGUAGGAAUCUACCUCAAAGCGGGGGAUAACUCGGGGAAACUCGAGCUAAUACCGCAUAAUCUCUACGGAGCAAAGCCGGGGACCUUCGGGCCUGGCACUUUGAGAUGAGCCUACGUCAGAUUAGCUUGUUGGUAGGGUAAUGGCCUACCAAGGCGACGAUCUGUAGCUGGUCUGAGAGGACGAUCAGCCACACUGGGACUGAGACACGGCCCAGACUCCUACGGGAGGCAGCAGUGGGGAAUAUUGGACAAUGGGCGCAAGCCUGAUCCAGCAAUACCGCGUGNGUGAAGAAGGCCUUCGGGUUGUAAAGCACUUUCAGUAGUGAAGAAAGGCUCAAGGCUAAUAUCCUUGAGAGUUGACGUUAACUACAGAAGAAGCACCGGCUAACUCUGUGCCAGC